ACCAGGUUGUUGCCAAGCCGGCCCUGAGUCCAGGCCCCUCAGGGGACCAUGCGGAGCUGAGCGAGCUGCCCAACCCCGCGUCCUGAGUCAUGAGAUCAGGCGGGGUUAUAAAACCACCCUUGCCCACACUCUGUUUUGUGGCACGUCCGAUGUUUUAGAAAUACCGGAGGUCUAAAUUCUGUACGCAGUUUUAAAAAAUCUGGUGAUUUGAAAUGUACUGACUUGCGUUUCAACCCUGGGAGUAAACGUCCUUUUCGGUGCCCUGCCGGACCUUCGCUUCACCAACUGUGCGGGCUCGGCGAGAGGUGGACCUGGUCUGGAGACACAGGCACCCGCAGGGUGGCCUACAGGUCGGCCGCUGGCCCCCUGCGCUUCUGUCCUGCCCCAACCUCAACAAUUAUGACGUUUGAAAAUUUUCCGCUUUUCAAAUAACAAUAAUAAGCAUUCGUGAAAAACCCGAAGUACUUUAUGUCACCACCUGGAAGCCAGCUAAAGUGCCCACUGCGAAAACAAGGAAGAAAAUAAGAAAAUAUGCCCCGAAGAGAAAGAAUUAAAAAUCGACUCUUCUCUGGGAGAAAAUGAAAUCGAGAAGCUCAAGACCAGGACCUCUGAGAAAUGAGUGUAUUUGGGAAAAGGUUUGAUUUUCCAGCCACUGGUGCCUCAGCUUUGGGCUUUCCAUUUGCUGGGCUUCUCCUAACACCUCCGGCACCCAGCAGCGUGUUCACGGGGUCACCUGCUUCUGGUAAACUGCGCACAUGGGAUAUUUUGGCUGCUGCGGUCAAGACACUACCUCUCUGCACUUGAACUUCCCUUUUGUCACACUUCCCUGAUGUCAAGUAGCACGGGCGAGUCCAGGGGAGUUUUGGAGAUCUGUCUUCUUAAAAGAGAAGCUGAGUUGGAGACCUAUGUAUAUAUUUAAUCUCUCAGUGUCUCCCAUGUAUAUAGUUAAGUCAUGGUCAUCGGUCCUGAUCCAGGAAGGGCUUCCAGGAAUUCUCCUGCCAUGCACCUGCUGACUUACCCAGCUCAGACAGAGGUCCAGGGCUACGGGAUAUCACCAUGUGAACGGGUCCUCCAGCACCAGACCUCGGACGCAGGUGGGCCACGGAGGAGAAACCCAGUUUGACAUGAGGAGUCACCCUGUGGGAAGCUUUCUAGCAUCAGGCAUGGAAAUUGAACUGUUCUCCAGUGUUUCACUGACCCUUAAAGCCAAGUAAAACCACAUUGGGAAAGUAGCCUUUGGUCUGAAUCGGACCGAAGAAACCUAAGAAGUAUGGCGAACUAGGAGGCAGCAGCUUCAUGGAUAGCAGAGCUCCCCUAGGCUUCCUCCAGACCCUUGCGGUAGUGAGCCCUGGCUGAAACUGCCACCAUUCAUGGAUGGACACCAAGGAUCCCAUCUGGUAAAAGGACCACAGGCCAGAGUGACAUGGCCAGCAUGGGUUGGCCUGUAGUCUAUCCCAGGAAUUCAGGGUUCUUUCCUGAAUUCCUUUUGAAACAGUGAUCCCAACAAACAGACCGUGUGGAGCAUGUUUGUCGUCCGAAGCCUUCAAAGCUAAAAGUCGUAUGAUGUUGAUCACGA